UACAGAGGGGGCAAGCGUUGUUCGGAAUUACUGGGCGUAAAGGGCGCGUAGGCGGCCUGUUAAGUCGAACGUGAAAUCCCUGGGCUCAACCCAGGAACUGCGUCCGAUACUGGCAGGCUUGAAUUCGGGAGAGGGAUGCGGAAUUCCAGGUGUAGCGGUGAAAUGCGUAGAUAUCUGGAGGAACACCGGUGGCGAAGGCGGCAUCCUGGACAGAUAUUGACGCUGAGGCGCGAAAGCCAGGGGAGCAAACGGG
rnacentral:rRNA from 1 species